AUUGAACGCUGGCGGCAGGCUUAACACAUGCAAGUCGAGCGAUCGGCGGACGGGUGAGUAAUGUCUGGGAAACUGCCCGAUGGAGGGGGAUAACUACUGGAAACGGUAGCUAAUACCGCAUACCAUCAGAUGUGCCCCGAUGGGAUUCGCUAGUAGGUGGGGUAAUGGCUCACCUAGGCGACGAUCCCUAGCUGGUCUGAGAGGAUGACCGGCCACACGGGGACUGAGACACGGCCCAGACUCCUACGGGAGGCAGCAGUAGGGAAUCUUCGGCAAUGGGGGAAAGAAUGACCGAGAAACGCCGCGUGAAUGAAGAAGGUUUUCGGGUCGUAAAGCACUGUUGUUAGAGAAGCGGGAACUGAAGAAGAAGCCCCGGCUAACUACGUGCCAGCAGCCGCGGUAAUAG
rnacentral:rRNA from 1 species